CCUACGGGGGGCAGCAGUGGGGAAUAUUGGGCAAUGGGCGCAAGCCUGACCCAGCAACGCCGCGUGCAGGAUGAAGGCCUUCGGGUUGUAAACUUCUUUUGUCAGGGACGAAGAAAGUGACGGUACAUGACGAAUCAGCCACGGCUAACUAGGUGCCAGCAGCCGCGGUAAUACGUAGGUGGCAAGCGUUAUCCGGAUUUACUGGGUGUAAAGGGCGUGUAGGCGGGAGAGAAAGUCAGACGUGAAAUUCCAGGGCUAAACCCUGGAACUGAGUUUGAAACUGUUCUUCUUGAGUGAUGGAGAGGCAGGCGGAAUGCCGUGUGUAGCGGUGAAAUGGGUAGAUAUACGGAGGAACAUCAGUGGCGAAGGCGGCCUGCUGAACAUUAACUGACGCUGAGGCGCGAAAGCGUGGGGAGCAAACAGGAUUAGAUACCCGUGUAGU
rnacentral:rRNA from 1 species